rnacentral:lncRNA from 1 species
CGCUCGGCCAGCAAAGCCCGGCAGCAGAGCCGUGCGCCUAGGGCGCGGUGCGCGCCGAGCCACCCUGCGGUGGCGCUCUUCCCUCCCGGGAAGGGCGGCGUUAGCUCGCUUUAAAAUAACCCUGAGUGAGGAGCACUUUGCAGUUUGGAGAUGCAGACAUAAAACAGUGGGUUCCGCGCGCACAGACGGUCCCUCUGCCUCCCCUCUCGCCCCCGGUGGGUAGCAGGGGAGUAACAAAGACGCUGCCGCGCCGCUGACGCCGAACAAUCUCUGAUGCAAGAAGAGGGGGCUGGCCAAAAAGCAACGGCAGCGGGCUGUGAAGUUUUUUUGCAGGCAGCAAUGAAAACAGUUGAGCCCUUUAUCCUCCAUAAUGAAGGGUUACAAAGACUAUAUAUAAGUGGUGAGUAAACACCUAAGACUAUUUAUGCUUCCUGAUUCUUAAGGCGGAGUGAGUUAGUGGGAAAAUUCACUCGGUUAGAUGUCAGAAGAGCUAGGUUCCGGUACAGAUUAGCUGUAUGACCUCAGAUAACUUACUGAGACUGGUUGAGCCUCAGUUUCCAAUCUCUAAAAUGAGAGAGUCGGACUAGAUAAGAGUCACGGGUCUUGUGUUGUUAAAUGUUCUACUGAUCCGUGAUAUUUUUACCCAGCUAAACACACAUUCCUCCACCCUCAUCAAAUGUGUGGUGGGUGGUAAGAAAACAAUCCCAUCCACGUGGAGGUGAGGGUUCAUUCGAGAGGCGAGUGUGGAUUUAACAGAUUCUGUGCGGCCACACUGCUAGGCUCUGUGAACGACACAAAGAUGAAUCCAAUGAAGGUCUCAUUCUCAAGGGUCUGUGCGUAGCCAAACAGUGUACGUGGCAUCUCCCUCCUUAUUAGUGACCACGUAAACGCCCUCUGAUCUGAGCGUGAACAAGACAUAAACUUCUGGCCAAGUGACCGUCCGGAACCAGAUUUAUGCCCUGACUCCUCCACCAUAUUGUGUUUAAAAGUCACUCCUGUAAAGUCUCCAACUCUAGAUGUUUUACAAGCGUUUUUGAAUGAGCUGAUUUAGAAAAAUUUGCUUGUUGCAAAACCACAUGCAAGUUGACAUUUGAUUUGCUCUCGACCUUAAAUUGCUCAAGGUCUCCCUGGCCAUUUUAAGGAUUUCUGUGU